rnacentral:rRNA from 1 species
GAGCACGUAGGUGGGUUUGUAAGUCAGAUGUGAAAGCCUUCUGUUCAACGGAAGAAUUGCAUCUGAAACUGCGAGUCUUGAGUGUAGGAGGGGAGAAUGGAACUUCUGGUGGAGCGGUGAAAUGAGUAGAUAUCAGAAGGAACGCCGGCGGCGAAAGCGAUUCUCUGGCCUAUUACUGACACUCAGUGUGCGAAAGCUAGGGGAGCAAACGGGAUUAGAUACCCCGGUAGUCCUAGCCGUAAACGAUGGGCACUAAGUAGAGGGGUUUU